rnacentral:rRNA from 1 species
UAGGGAAUCUUCGGCAAUGGACGAAAGUCUGACCGAGCAACGCCGCGUGAGUGAAGAAGGUUUUCGGAUCGUAAAACUCUGUUGUUAGAGAAGAACAAGGACGUUAGUAACUGAACGUCCCCUGACGGUAUCUAACCAGAAAGCCACGGCUAACUACGUGCCAGCAGCCGCGGUAAUACGUAGGUGGCAAGCGUUGUCCGGAUUUAUUGGGCGUAAAGCGAGCGCAGGCGGUUUCUUAAGUCUGAUGUGAAAGCCCCCGGCUCAACCGGGGAGGGUCAUUGGAAACUGGGAGACUAGAGUACAGAAGAGGAGAGUGGAAUUCCGUGUGUAGCGGUGAAAUGCGUAGAUAUAUGGAGGAACACCAGUGGCGAAGGCGGCUCUCUAGUCUGUAACUGACGCUGAGGCUCGAAAGCGUGGGGAGCAAACAGG